UUUGGCUGCUGUAUGAAGAAUGGCUUAGAGAGAAGCAAGACAGAAACAGGGAUUCCAGAUAGAAGGUUCCUGAAGGGAUCCCAGCAAGAGAACACAGGGGUCUAGAUUCGGGGGCCGGGGGCCUCGGCAGCAGAGUUGGAACGAAACAGAAAGAUCUUUCUGACUGUAAUGUGGACAGCUAUGUGCAGGGUGAUGCCAGAGACGAGAGAGACCAGAUCUUGGCGACCAGCUGCAACUCAGGAGCACCAGAGCUGAGCUGAUUCAUGAACUGAUGGCUCCAGCCUCCCUGCAUCCCCUGCUUGAUGGACCUGCUGGCUCUGCCACCCCCAGCACCACUGGCCAGUGACCAAGGAGAGCAC